GAUGAACGCUGGCGGCGUGCCUAAUACAUGCAAGUCGAGCGAACAGACGAGGAGCUUGCUCCUCUGACGUUAGCGGCGGACGGGUGAGUAACACGUGGAUAACCUACCUAUAAGACUGGGAUAACUUCGGGAAACCGGAGCUAAUACCGGAUAAUAUAUUGAACCGCAUGGUUCGAUAGUGAAAGACGGUUUUGCUGUCACUUAUAGAUGGAUCCGCGCCGCAUUAGCUAGUUGGUAAGGUAACGGCUUACCAAGGCAACGAUGCGUAGCCGACCUGAGAGGGUGAUCGGCCACACUGGAACUGAGACACGGUCCAGACUCCUACGGGAGGCAGCAGUAGGGAAUCUUCCGCAAUGGGCGAAAGCCUGACGGAGCAACGCCGCGUGAGUGAUGAAGGUCUUCGGAUCGUAAAACUCUGUUAUUAGGGAAGAACAAAUGUGUAAGUAACUGUGCACGUCUUGACGGUACCUAAUCAGAAAGCCACGGCUAACUACGUG
rnacentral:rRNA from 1 species